rnacentral:rRNA from 1 species
CGAAAGCCUGAUCGAGCGACGCCGCGUGCGGGAUGAAGGCCUUCGGGUUGUAAACCGCUUUAUGAUGGAAGAAGUGCAAACUGACGGUACUUCAUGAAUAAGGGGGUGCUAAUUCUGUGCCAGCAGCCGCGGUAAAACAGAACCCCCAAGCGUUACCCGGAUUUAUUGGGCGUAAAGUGUCUGUAGCUGGUUUGGCAAGUCGUAGGUUAAAUACUGAGGGCUCAACCUUCAGGGUGCCUGCGAAACUGCCAGACUUGAGGACGUUAGGGGCUGAUAGAACUCUUGGUGGAGGGGUGAAAUCCGUUGAUAUCAAGGGGAAUACCAAAAGCGAAGGCAUUCAGCUGGGGCGAUCCUGACAGUGAGAGACGAAAGCGUGGGGAGCGAAAAGGAUUAGAUACCCUUGUAGUCCACGCUGUAAACGAUGGAUACUAGCCAUGUGAAGUGUCGACCCUUCACGUGGCGAAGCAAACGCGUUAAGUAUCCCGCCUGGGAAGUACGAGCGCAAGCUUA